UACGUAGGGGGCAAGCGUUGUCCGGAAUCAUUGGGCGUAAAGAGCGUGUAGGUUGUUCGAUAAGUCUGCUGUGAAAGUCCAAGGCUCAACCUUGGGAUGCCGGUGGAUACUGUCUGACUAGAGUACGGAAGAGGCGAGUGGAAUUCCCGGUGUAGCGGUGAAAUGCGCAGAUAUCGGGAGGAACACCAAUUGCGAAGGCAGCUCGCUGGGACGGUACUGACGCUGAGACGCGAAAGCGUGGGGAGCAAACAGG
rnacentral:rRNA from 1 species